rnacentral:rRNA from 1 species
CUACGGGGGGCAGCAGUGGGGAAUAUUGCACAAUGGGGGAAACCCUGAUGCAGCAACGCCGCGUGGAGGAUGACGCAUUUCGGUGUGUAAACUCCUUUUAUAUAGGAAGAUAAUGACGGUACUAUAUGAAUAAGCACCGGCUAACUCCGUGCCAGCAGCCGCGGUAAUACGGAGGGUGCAAGCGUUACUCGGAAUCACUGGGCGUAAAGCGCGCGCAGGCGGCCUUUUAAGUUGGAUGUGAAAGCCUAUGGCUUAACCAUAGAACUGCAUCCAAAACUAUCAGGCUAGAGUCUGGGAGGGGAAGAUGGAAUUAGUUGUGUAGGGGUAAAAUCCGUAGAGAUAACUAGGAAUACCAAAAGCGAAGGCGAUCUUCUGGAACAGUACUGACGCUGAGGCGCGAAAGCGUGGGGAGCAAACAGGAUUAGAUACCCGCGUAGUC